CUCUCUCCCGCCGUGGAUAAAUAGCGGCGGCACGGGCGGCGUGAUGCUCCAGCCCCAGCACUGACGUCCCGCAGCCGCAUCAUGGACUCCCAGGACUGCCCUUGUGCCACCGGCGGCACCUGCACGUGCGGGGACAACUGCAAAUGUAAAAACUGCAAAUGCACGUCGUGCAAAAAAGGCUGCUGCUCCUGCUGCCCUGCAGGAUGUGCCAAGUGUGCACAGGGCUGUGUCUGCAAAGGGCCCCCCUCUGCCAAGUGCAGCUGCUGCAAGUAGCGGCCCCCCCCACCACGCUGAGGAAAACUAACCUUAUUGUAUCUGUUUUUUUAUGUGUGCGUUCGGAUCGUGUCAGUGCUCAGCACAUGUAGUGUGCCAUGAGCUGCCUGAAUAAAGCUGUGUGUAUAUAACUGUA